GCAUGCAACACUUGCCUUUGCACAGUCGUGGGUUGUACUUUUUUUAUAUAUUUGAAGGUUUAACAAUCAUUUGUGGACCAGCUAUCAUGCGAGUCUUCUACCUGGGAUGUAUUAUAUUCUUCUAUGGGGUUUGGAGUCAGGCCCCUUACAGGGUGACUUACCCAUCGAAGAGUGUCUGUGCUUUGAAGGGGUUCUCAGUGGUCCUUCCCUGCUCUUACUACCCUGGACCUUAUGGCAUCCGAGAAGGCCACUGGUACAAAGACAACGUCUCUAAUGGUGAUCCGAAGGAUCUGAGAUGGGAGCCAGAGUACAGAGACCGAGUACGGAGCCCUUAUUCUGAGACCUCCUGUGAUCUUCAUAUGACAACUCUGACAGAAAGUGACGCCGGCGUUUACUACUUCGGAUUUAAAGCAUUGGCGUCACCACACGGGAAACAACAGCAUGGAUUCAUGGAUCGCCGGGAAUUGCUCUCGUGGUCUCAGAUGCUCAACUGAAGGUGGAUCCUACAUCAGUCACACAAAGGUGGAUACAUGUAACCUGUGCCACCUCCUGUACCUGGGUCCUGUGGAUUACUACACAUGGUACAGGAAUGGAAAACAUCUAAAGUACACUGAUGAGGCUUCCAUAGUCAUAGACUCAGCUGGUGGCUCUGAGAGUCAGGGCAGUUACUGGUGUGAAGUCAGAGCUGCUGGCAACCGACUAACAUCCUCUGCAGUGUGUG
ensembl:lncRNA